rnacentral:lncRNA from 1 species
CUCCAUGUACCGUGGCAUGACCGUGGCCAAGUAAUAAAGAUCAAAUUCCAUGCCUAUGUGAUCAGUGCAUUUUAAUGCACAUUCUUCUACUAUUGUACUAGUGUAUUCCUAUGGUUUAAUUUACUAUUUUCACUAUUUUAAGGUGUUUUUAUAUUUAAGUUUAUUUCUAACUCUAUNNNNNNNNNNNNNNNNNNNAUAAAUAGCACUUUGACACCCUUCCGGUCCGCAGGUCAUAACUGGAGUUACAAAUAUCGGAUUGAGACGCGGGAAGAUGCGUUGGAAAGCUGAGAUCAAGAGCUACGACUUUUAUGUUGAGGUCAAAACCCAGUUCGGAGCGCAAGUGUGUCAAAUAAUUGCGUUUAUGUUCCAGACGAAUUUAAUUUCAGCACAACUUUAUAUUUUUCGGCCCAAUUGUUUUAAGGCCCGUUCCAUGUAUUAUUUAAACCGAAAAAAAGGCAGCUAGGGUUAUUUCAUUCUGAUUUCACGAGAAACCAAUCCCGAGAGCAGCCACUACCUUCAUGGAGAACUAAACUUAUUUUCAAUCCAUUGGUGUAAGGAAUUUUGUU